rnacentral:rRNA from 1 species
UACGUAGGGCCCGAGCGUUGUCCGGAAUUAUUGGGCGUAAAGGGCUCGUAGGCGGUUUGUCGCGUCGGGAGUGAAAACCAUGAGCUUAACUCAUGGCUUGCUUCCGAUACGGGCAGACUAGAGGUAUGCAGGGGAGAAUGGAAUUCCUGGUGUAGCGGUGAAAUGCGCAGAUAUCAGGAGGAACACCGGUGGCGAAGGCGGUUCUCUGGGCAUUACCUGACGCUGAGGAGCGAAAGUGUGGGGAGCGAACAGG